AUAGCAAAAUUUGAGGCUCGAGCGUUGGCUACGUAGAAUUUAUAGCUCAAUAUGUUUGCAUCAAGACAUAUGCAAUCGACAUAGUUAUUCGCGACGUUCAUGAUAGGGAUAUAACACUUCCAAAGCUAAUAAACCUAUAUCCUAAUAUCCUAUAACUUAGAACAUUUUAUUAUCAAACAAUACAUUUAUAGAUUUAUUAUAAGACUAUACGAAACGGAAACAUUUACUUGUUAUACUAAAGAUAACAGCAAGAUAAGAAAUUGUUUUAUUACUGGAGAUUUGUUGCGUUAAAUUUUCCUGUAUUUAUCUAGCGCAUAGAAGGAGAAAGUACGAAAAAAAUAUUAAAAAUAAAAAUACGAAAAAAUGCGUUUUUAGCACAUUUUAUGACCCACGACUUUACCCACGACUUUACCCACGACUUUACCCACGACACACGACUUUUAACCCACGACACACGACACACGACAUAUAGGGAC